UACAGAGGGUGCAAGCGUUGUCCGGAAUCAUUGGGCGUAAAGGGCGCGUAGGUGGCGGGACAAGCGUGCGGUGAAAGCUCGGGGCUCAACCCCGAGUCGGCCGUGCGAACUGUUUUGCUUGAGCACUGUAGAGGCAGGCGGAAUUCCGGGUGUAGCGGUGGAAUGCGUAGAGAUCCGGAAGAACACCGGUGGCGAAGGCGGCCUGCUGGGCAGUAGCUGACACUGAGGCGCGACAGCGUGGGGAGCAAACAGG
rnacentral:rRNA from 1 species